GCUCUAGGUCAGACUUUAGUUGUCCAGUUACACCAGGCUACCCAUAUAGGUGUCACCAAGACUUCUGAACUUUUGUGAGGCAGGUCACAGGUAAAUGCAAGGUAAGGGGGGUCCCCCUGGGAAUUCGGGCCCAGGGCAACUCCCCAGGAGAGCAUUGAGAGGUGGAUUUCACAGAGAUUAAGCCACCGGCAUCAGGGUAUAAGUAUAGACUCCUUCUCGGGAUGGGUUGAAGUCUAGCCCGCCAGGACAGAAACUGCCUCUAUAAUGGUCAAGAAAUUACUCCAGGAGAUUAUACCUAGAUUGGGGCUAUCAGCAGUCAUAGGACCAGAUAACAGCCCCGACUUUGUAGCCAAGGUAUCUCAAAGUCAUAAAUUGGAAACUCCAUUGUUCAUACCGGCCACAGAUUCAGGGCAGGUAUGAACAGGACUCUAAAAGGACUUUAACUAAAUUU